AGAGUUUGAUCCUGGCUCAGCGCGAACGCUGGCGGCAUGGUUAAAGCAUGCAAGUCGAACGAUUAAAGCCCCUUCGGGGGUGUAUAAAGUGGCGUAAGGGCGAGGAAUACAUUUCUACGUACCCCGAGGUCGAGGAUAGCCCAGGGAAACUUGGAGUAAUACUCGAUGUGGUGCUUCGGCAUCAAAGGCUUCGGUCGCCUUGGGAGCGGGGAAUGUCCUAUCAGGUUGUUGGUGAGGUAACGGCUCACCAAGCCUUUGACGGGUAGCGGGUGUGAGAGCAUGACCCGCCGCAUCGGGACUGAGACACUGCCCGGACUCCUACGGGAGGCUGCAGCAACGAAUCUUCCGCAAUGCGCGAAAGCGUGACGGAGCAAUGCCGCGUGCAGGAUGAAGCCCCUAGGGGUGUAAACUGCUGUCAGAGUUCAGCAACCCAAUGAGCAGACUCAAAGGAAGGGCCGGCUAACUUCGUGCCAGCAGCCGCGGUAAUACGAAGGGCCCGAGCGUUGCGCGGAAUCACUGGGCUUAAAGCGUACGUAGGCGGACAUGCAGGCAUCUUGUGAAAUCCCUCGGCUCAACCGAGGAACUGCAGGGUGAACCGCAUGUCUUGAGGUGAGUAGAGGCUGUCGGAACGAUAGGUGGAGCGGUGAAAUGCGUUGAUAUCUAUCGGAACGCCAAAGGCGAAGGCAGGCAGCUGGGCUUAUUCUGACGCUGAGGUACGAAAGCGUGGGGAGCGAACGGGAUUAGAUACCCCGGUAGUCCACGCCGUAAACGAUGUGCACUAGAUCGAGGGAGUUCUGACACUAUUCUCGGUCGAAGCAAAAGUGUUAAGUGCACCGCCUGGGGAGUACGGUCGCAAGGCUAAAACUCAAAGGAAUUGACGGG
rnacentral:rRNA from 1 species